rnacentral:rRNA from 1 species
GACGUAGGGCGCGAGCGUUGUCCGGAUUUAUUGGGCGUAAAGAGCUCGUAGGCGGCUUGUUGCGUCGGCUGUGAAAACUUGGGGCUCAACCCCAAGCUUGCGGUCGAUACGGGCAGGGCUAGAGUUCGGUAGGGGAGACUGGAAUUCCUGGUGUAGCGGUGGAAAUGACGCAGAUAUCAGGAAGAACACCGGUGGCGAAGGCGGCCUGCUGGGCAGUUUAGCUGACACUGAGGCGCGACAGCGUGGGGAGCAAACAGG